rnacentral:rRNA from 1 species
UACGUAGGGUGCGAGCGUUGUCCGGAAUUACUGGGCGUAAAGAGCUCGUAGGUGGUUUGUCGCGUUGUCCGUGAAAACUCACAACUCAAUUUGUGGGCGUGCGGGCGAUACGGGCAGACUGGAGUACUGCAGGGGGAGACUGGAAUUCCUGGUGUAGCGGUGGAAUGCGCAGAUAUCAGGAAGAACACCUAUGGCGAAGGCAGCUCCUCUGGGGACGGUACUGAGCU